GGCAAACAUAUUGUUUUGUAAAGAUACAGCUUGCCAAAAAUAAUAAUUGAACUCAGCAUGUCAAAAUACAUAAAAAUAGAAGUUUUAUUUUCUCUUCUAAUGCAAACACAAACAGAGUUUUGAAAAGCUUCAUGAAAUGAGAA